AUACGGAGGAUCCGAGCGUUAUCCGGAUUUAUUGGGUUUAAAGGGAGCGUAGGCGGACGCUUAAGUCAGUUGUGAAAGUUUGCGGCUCAACCGUAAAAUUGCAGUUGAUACUGGGUGUCUUGAGUACAGUAGAGGCAGGGGGAAUUUCUGGUGUAGCGGUGAAAUGCUUAGAUAUCACGAAGAACUCCGAUUGCGAAGGCAGCCUGCUGGACUGUAACUGACGCUGAUGCUCGAAAGUGUGGGUAUCAAACAGGAUUAGAUACCCUGGUAGUCCACACAGUAAACGAUGAAUACUCGCUGUUUGCGAUAUACAGUAAGCGGCCAAGCGAAAGCGUUAAGUAUUCCACCUGGGGAGUACGCCGGCAACGGUGAAACUUAAAGGAAUUGACGGGG
rnacentral:rRNA from 1 species